rnacentral:rRNA from 1 species
UACGAAGGGGGCUAGCGUUGCCCGGAAUUACUGGGCGUAAAGCGCACGUAGGCGGUCUUUUAAGUCGGGGGUGAAAUCCUGGAGCUCAACUCCAGAACUGCCUUUGAUACUGAAGAUCUUGAGUUCGGGAGAGGUGAGUGGAACUGCGAGUGUAGAGGUGAAAUUCGUAGAUAUUCGCAAGAACACCAGUGGCGAAGGCGGCUCACUGGCCCGAUACUGACGCUGAGGCACGAAAGCGUGGGGAGCAAACAGG